rnacentral:rRNA from 1 species
UACGUAGGGUGCAAGCGUUGUCCGGAAUUAUUGGGCGUAAAGAGCUCGUAGGCGGUCUGUCGCGUCUGCUGUGAAAUCUCAGGGCUUAACCCUGAGCUUGCAGUGGGUACGGGCAGACUAGAGUGCGGUAGGGGAGACUGGAAUUCCUGGUGUAGCGGUGAAAUGCGCAGAUAUCAGGAGGAACACCGGUGGCGAAGGCGGGUCUCUGGGACGGUACUGACGCUGAGACGCGAAAGCGUGGGGAGCGAACAGG